rnacentral:rRNA from 1 species
UACGGAGGGUGCAAGCGUUAUCCGGAUUCACUGGGUUUAAAGGGUGCGUAGGUGGGUUGGUAAGUCAGUGGUGAAAUCCCCGAGCUUAACUUGGGAACUGCCAUUGAUACUAUCAGUCUUGAAUACCGUGGAGGUCAGCGGAAUAUGUCAUGUAGCGGUGAAAUGCUUAGAUAUGACAUAGAACACCAAUUGCGAAGGCAGCUGGCUACACGAAUAUUGACACUGAGGCACGAAAGCGUGGAGAUCAAACAGG